CUACGGGUGGCUGCAGUGGGGAAUAUUGGACAAUGGGCGAAAGCCUGAUCCAGCCAUGCCGCGUGUGUGAAGAAGGCCUUCGGGUUGUAAAGCACUUUCAGUGGGGAAGAAAGCCUUGGGGCUAAUACCCUCGAGGAAGGACAUCACCCACAGAAGAAGCACCGGCUAACUCCGUGCCAGCAGCCGCGGUAAUACGGAGGGUGCGAGCGUUAAUCGGAAUUACUGGGCGUAAAGCGCGCGUAGGCGGUCUGAUAAGCCGGUUGUGAAAGCCCCGGGCUCAACCUGGGAACGGCAUCCGGAACUGUCAGGCUAGAGUGCAGGAGAGGAAGGUAGAAUUCCCAGUGUAGCGGUGAAAUGCGUAGAGAUCGGGAGGAAUACCAGUGGCGAAGGCGGCCUUCUGGACUGACACUGACGCUGAGGUGCGAAAGCGUGGGUAGCAAACAGGAUUAGAUACCCUAGUAGUC
rnacentral:rRNA from 1 species